UACGUAGGGUGCGAGCGUUAAUCGGAAUUACUGGGCGUAAAGCGCACGUAGGCGGAUUUGCCAGUCAGGGGUGAAAUCCCGGGGCUCAACCUCGGAACUGCCUCUGAUACAGCAAGUCUUGAGUCCGGAAGAGGUGGGUGGAAUUCCUAGUGUAGAGGUGAAAUUCGUAGAUAUUAGGAAGAACACCAGUGGCGAAGGCGGCCCACUGGUCCGGUACUGACGCUGAGGUGCGAAAGCGUGGGGAGCAAACAGG
rnacentral:rRNA from 1 species